rnacentral:rRNA from 1 species
GAUGAACGCUGGCGGCGUGCCUAAUACAUGCAAGUCGAGCGAACAGACGAGGAGCUUGCUUCUCUGACGUUAGCGGCGGACGGGUGAGUAACACGUGGAUAACCUACCUAUAAGACUGGGAUAACUUCGGGAAACCGGAGCUAAUCCCGGAUGAUAUUUUGAACCGCAUGGUUCAAUAGUGAAAGACGGUCUUGCUGUCACUUAUAGCUGCAUCCGCGCUGCAUUAGCUAGUUGUUAAGGUAACGGCUUACCAAGGCAACGAUGCAUAGCCGACCUGAGAGGGGGAUAGGCGACACUGGAACUGAGACACGGUCCAGACUACUACGGGAGGCAGCAGUAGGGAAUCGUCCGCAAUGGGCGAAAGCCUGACGGAGCAACGCCGCGUGAGUGAUGAAGGUCUUCGGAGCGUAAAACUCUGUUAUUAGGGAAGAACAUAUGUGUAAGUAACUGUGCACAUCUUGACGGUACCUAAUCAGAAAGCCACGGCUAACUACGUG